rnacentral:rRNA from 1 species
UACGUAGGGUGCAAGCGUUGUCCGGAAUUAUUGGGCGUAAAGAGCUCGUAGGCGGUCUGUCGCGUCGGCUGUGAAAACCCGGAGCUCAACUCCGGGCCUGCAGUCGAUACGGGCAGACUGGAGUUCGGCAGGGGAGACUGGAAUUCCUGGUGUAGCGGUGGAAUGCGCAGAUAUCAGGAGGAACACCGGUGGCGAAGGCGGGUCUCUGGGCCGAUACUGACGCUGAGGAGCGAAAGCGUGGGGAGCGAACAGG